UAGAAUCCUAGUUCACUAACAGUC
rnacentral:piRNA from 1 species